rnacentral:tRNA from 1 species
UCCCUGAUGGUCUCAUGGUCAGGAUUUAGCACUCUCACCUCUGUGGCCUGGGUUCAAUUCCUCGUCAGGGAA